rnacentral:piRNA from 1 species
UGGUGUCAAAAUCGGACGACC